AUACGUAGGGUGCGAGCGUUGUCCGGAAUUACUGGGCGUAAAGAGCUCGUAGGUGGUUUGUCGCGUCGUCUGUGAAAUUCCGGGGCUUAACUCCGGGCGUGCAGGCGAUACGGGCAUAACUUGAGUACUGUAGGGGAGACUGGAAUUCCUGGUGUAGCGGUGAAAUGCGCAGAUAUCAGGAGGAACACCGGUGGCGAAGGGGGGUCUCUGGGCAGUAACUGACGCUGAGGAGCGAAAGCGUGGGUAGCGAACAGGAUUAGAUACCCUGGUAGUCCAUGCCGUAAACGGUGGGCGCUAGGUGUAGGGGUCUUCCACGACUUCUGUGCCGUAGCUAACGCAUUAAGCGCCCCGCCUGGGGAGCACGGCCGCAAGGCUAAAACUUAAAGGAAUUGACGGGG
rnacentral:rRNA from 1 species